GACUUUACUAAAUAAAAUGUUUUGAAAGCAUUUUUUAAGAUAAAUAUCUUUAAAGUCA
rnacentral:tRNA from 1 species